GAUUCCGUAGCUCAGCUGGGAGAGCGCUUGCUUGACAGGCAAGAGGUCGCUGGUUCGAGCCCAGUCGGAGUCA
rnacentral:tRNA from 1 species